rnacentral:tRNA from 1 species
GAGCCGAUAGCUCAGUCGGUAGAGCAACUGACUUUUAAUCAGUAGGUCCAGGGUUCGAAUCCCUGUCGGCUCACCA